ensembl:lncRNA
CACAAUUAUAAAACACAAUUAUAAAAAAAUUUCCCCAUGGUUUGAGAAAUCAUUCUUAAUGAAUAGAAAUAUGAGACGGAAUUUCAAAAAGAACAGAAAAAUGUCAUAUUUGAAGUCAUAAAUAACUUUAAGCUGAUGUGCUGGGGGACAGGAUCAAUGAGCUAUGCCAUUGGACAGACCCAGGAGUAUGUACAGUUGGAGAUCCCUGCUGUUUCAAGAGAAUUGCCAAGGACAACAACUCUUAAAGAUACUGAUUAGCUAUUCCAUGUUCAAGGUCAGGAGGGGCGGCAGUGAGGAGAUACCUCUCAUCAAAGGUAAGGAGCAGCAGCUUCACUUUCCUGGAGCAGCCCUGAAGAGAUACCCCAUGUCCAAGGGGACAAGAACAACUGACUGACUAAGAAUAGGGCACAUUUCCAUCUCUGGAACUGGGACUGAGUUGAACCUCAUCCAAGCUAAUCUGGACCAUGCUGAUUAUGGAAUGACCCAUUUUAAGAAUGCUCUAUCCUUCU